rnacentral:rRNA from 1 species
AACGAACGCUGGCGGCAUGCCUAACACAUGCAAGUCGAACGAGAUCUUCGGGUCUAGUGGCGCACGGGUGCGUAACGCGUGGGAAUCUGCCCUUUGGUUCGGAAUAACAGUUGGAAACGACUGCUAAUACCGGAUGAUGACGAAAGUCCAAAGAUUUAUCGCCAGAGGAUGAGCCCGCGUAGGAUUAGCUAGUUGGUGUGGUAAAGGCGCACCAAGGCGACGAUCCUUAGCUGGUCUGAGAGGAUGAUCAGCCACACUGGGACUGAGACACGGCCCAGACUCCUACGGGAGGCAGCAGUGGGGAAUAUUGGACAAUGGGCGAAAGCCUGAUCCAGCAAUGCCGCGUGAGUGAUGAAGGCCUUAGGGUUGUAAAGCUCUUUUACCCGGGAUGAUAAUGACAGUACCGGGAGAAUAAGCACCGGCUAACUUCGUGCCAGCCGCCGCGGUAA